rnacentral:rRNA from 1 species
CCUACGGGAGGCAGCAGUAGGGAAUAUUGGGCAAUGGACGCAAGUCUGAACCAGCCAUGCAGCGUGCAGGAAGACGGCUCUAUGAGUUGUAAACUGCUUUUGUACGAGGGUAAACGCAGAUACGCGUAUCUGUCUGAAAGUAUCGGACGAAUAAGGAUAGGCUAACUCCGUGCCAGCCGCCGCGGUAAUACGGAGGAUUAAAGCGUUAUCCGGAUUUAUUGGGUUUAAGGGGUGCGUAGGCGGUCGGAGAAGUUAGAGGUGAAAUCCCGAGGCUCAACUUCGGAAUUGCCUCUGAUACUGUUCGGCUAGAGAGUAGUUGCGGUAGGCGGAAUGUAUGGUGUAGCGGUGAAAUGCUUAGAGAUCAUACAGAACACCGAUUGCGAAGGCAGCUUACCAAGCUACUUCUGACGUUGAGGCACGAAAGCGUGGGGAGCAAACAGGAUUAGAUACCCCUGUAGUC